rnacentral:rRNA from 1 species
AUUGAACGCUGGCGGCAGGCCUAACACAUGCAAGUCGAGCGAGCGGCGGACGGGUCAGUAAUGCCUGGGAAUUGCCCAGUCGAGGGUGAUAACAGUUGGAAACGACCGCUAUUACUGCAUAUGAUCCGAUUGCCCCGGUGUGAUUAGCUAGUUGGUGGGGUACUGGCUCACCAAGGCGACGAUCCCUAGCUGGUCUGAGAGGAUGAUCAGCCACACUGGAACUGAGACACGGUCCAGACUCCUACGGGAGGCAGCAGUGGGGAAUAUUGGACAAUGGGGGAAACACUGAUACAGCCAUGCCGCGUGUGUGAAGAAGGCCUGCGGGUUGUAAAGCACUUUAAGCGGGGAGGCGUUACUAACAGAAGAAGCACCGGCUAACUCCGUGCCAGCAGCCGCGGUAAUAA